rnacentral:rRNA from 1 species
UACGGCUACAUCUCGUUGAAACUCCAGUUCCCGUACGAUCAUCGAAGUUAAGCAACGUCGAGCCUGAUCAGUACCUAGAUGAGUGACCGUUUGGGAAUACCAGGUGGUGUAA